GGGAGGCAGCAGUCGGGAAUUUUGGGCAAUGGGCGAAAGCCUGACCCAGCAACGCCGCGUGAAGGAUGAAAUCCCUCGGGAUGUAAACUUCGCAAGAAUAGGAAGAAUAAUGCGAUGCUAAUACCAUCGCAGAUGACGGUACUAUUUGUAAGCUCCGGCUAACUCCGUGCCAGCAGCCGCGGUAAUACGGGGGGAGCAAGCGUUGUUCGGAUUUACUGGGCGUAAAGGGCGCGUAGGCGGCGUGAUAAGUCACUUGUGAAAUCUCUGGGCUCAACUCAGAACGGCCAAGUGAUACUGUCGUGCUAGAGUGCAGAAGGGGCAACUGGAAUUCUCGGUGUAGCGGUGAAAUGCGUAGAUAUCAAGAGGAACACCUGCGGCGAAGGCGGGUUGCUGGGCUGACACUGACGCUGAGGCGCGAAAGCUAGGGGAGCGAACGGGAUUAGAUACCCCGGUAGUCCUAGCCUUAAACGAUGAAUACUUGGUGUCCGGAGUUUUUAGUCUCCGGGUGCCGGCGCUAACGCAUUAAGUAUUC
rnacentral:rRNA from 1 species